rnacentral:rRNA from 2 species
UUAAGUAGACCGCCUGGGGAGUACGGCCGCAAGGUUAAAACUCAAAUGAAUUGACGGGGGCCCGCACAAGCGGUGGAGCAUGUGGUUUAAUUCGAUGCAACGCGAAGAACCUUACCUGGUCUUGACAUCCACAGAAGUUUGCAGAGAUGCGAAUGUGCCUUCGGGAACUGUGAGACAGGUGCUGCAUGGCUGUCGUCAGCUCGUGUUGUGAAAUGUUGGGUUAAGUCCCGCAACGAGCGCAACCCUUAUCCUUUGUUGCCAGCGAUUAGGUCGGGAACUCAAAGGAGACUGCCAGUGAUAAACUGGAGGAAGGUGGGGAUGACGUCAAGUCAUCAUGGCCCUUACGACCAGGGCUACACACGUGCUACAAUGGCGCAUACAAAGAGAAGCGACCUCGCGAGAGCAAGCGGACCUCAUAAAGUGCGUCGUAGUCCGGAUUGGAGUCUGCAACUCGACUCCAUGAAGUCGGAAUCGCUAGUAAUCGUGGAUCAGAAUGCCACGGUGAAUACGUUCCCGGGCCUUGUACACACCGCCCGUCACACCAUGGGAGUGGGUUGCAAAAGAAGUAGGUAGCUUAACCUUCGGGAGGGCGCUUACCACUUUGUGAUUCAUGACUGGGGUGAAGUCGUAACAAGGUAACCGUAGGGGAACCUGCGGUUGGA